GGCCUGGUGGCCAAGUGGUUACGGCCUCUGUUUGAUAAACAGAAGAUCGAGGGUUCGAUUCCCUCCCAUGGCCU